rnacentral:rRNA from 1 species
CCGGCGAGGGGAGUGAAAAAGAACCUGAAACCGUGUACGUACAAGCAGUGGGAGCACAGGUUUACCUGUGUGACUGCGUACCUUUUGUAUAAUGGGUCAGCGACUUAUAUUCUGUAGCAAGGUUAACCGUAUAGGGGAGCCGCAGGGAAACCGAGUCUUAACCGGGCGUUAAGUUGCAGGGUAUAGACCCGAAACCCGGUGAUCUAGCCAUGGGCAGGUUGAAGGUUGGGUAACACUAACUGGAGGACCGAACCGACUAAUGUUGAAAAAUUAGCGGAUGACCUGUGGCUGGGGGUGAAAGGCCAAUCAAACCGGGAGAUAGCUGGUUCUCCCCGAAAGCUAUUUAGGUAGCGCCUCGUGAAUUCAUCUCCGGGGGUAGAGCACUGUUUCGGCUAGGGGGCCAUCCCGGCUUACCAACCCGAUGCAAACUGCGAAUACCGGAGAAUGUUAUCACGGGAGACACACGGCGGGUGCUAACGUCCGUCGUGAAGAGGGAAACAACCCAGACCGCCAGCUAAGGUCCCAAAGUCAUGGUUAAGUGGGAAACGAUGUGGGAAGGCCCAGACAGCCAGGAUGUUGGCUUAGAAGCAGCCAUCAUUUAAAGAAAGCGUAAUAGCUCACUGGUCGAGUCGGCCUGCGCGGAAGAUGUAACGGGGCUAAACCAU